rnacentral:rRNA from 1 species
AGCAAGCAGAUCUCCUUCGGGAGUGACGCUUGUGGAACGAGCGGCGGACGGGUGAGUAACACGUGGGCAACCUACCUGUAAGACUGGGAUAACUCCGGGAAACCGGGGCUAAUACCGGAUGAAACAAAGCGUCGCAUGACGCAAUGUUAAAAGGCGGCAUAUGCUGUCACUUACAGAUGGGCCCGCGGCGCAUUAGCUAGUUGGUGAGGUAAAGGCUCACCAAGGCAACGAUGCGUAGCCGACCUGAGAGGGUGAUCGGCCACACUGGGACUGAGACACGGCCCAGACUCCUACGGGAGGCAGCAGUAGGGAAUCUUCCGCAAUGGACGAAAGUCUGACGGAGCAACGCCGCGUGAGUGAUGAAGGUUUUCGGAUCGUAAAACUCUGUUGUUAGGGAAGAACAAGUGCCAUUCGAAUAGGUUGGCACCUUGACGGUACCUAACCAGAAAGCCCCGGCUAACUACGUGCCAGCAGCCGCGGUAAUACGUAGGGGGCAAGCGUUGUCCGGAAUUAUUGGGCGUAAAGCGCGCGCAGGCGGUCCUUUAAGUCUGAUGUGAAAGCCCACGGCUUAACCCGUGGAGGGCCAUUGGAAACUGGAGGACUUGAGUACAGAAGAGGAGAG